UAGGAAAAGAAAUUGGAGUUUUGAAUAUUAUUUUGAUCUGCGGAAGUAAUAAAUUUCAGAUUUUUUUAUUUGAUUCAAUUAAUCAGGUUUGCUAUUUCACGUUUAUUUCUGGAUUUCUGUCAUCUAUAUAUGCAAUUAGGAUUUCGAUUUUGUUGUUUUGCAAUCUAUCUAUCUAUCGAUUCAUCCACCACCAGUUGAUGGGUCUUCGACAGUCCGCCGCUCCUGUUUCUGCGAUGACUGGAUCGGGUUCUUCUGAUUUUCCUUGUGCGUUUUUAGGGUUUCAAACGUUAUGGUUCUUUUCUCGGUUUGUAUGUCCUUGGAUUUUUGGCACUUCUAAUGCAUUGAUUAAGUGGAUUAUUCUGAUGGUUUUUAAGACGUUCUUGGAUACGAUAAGGCUGAUAACUAAUAGGGCAUCCUCUGCUUAUAAAUUUGAAUUGUGAGCUCUACCGUUGUGGUUACAAUUGGUAUCCAAGUAUGCUUCCUUCCUUCUGGCGAUGAUCUUCAUUGCGGAAAGGGCGACCUGGAGAUGGGUACUCCCAGUUGAAAACUGAUUCCGUGAAAUCUCCAGGAAUAUGAGCCGACGUAAUAAGGUGUAGAUGUUGUUAUGAAAGGAUGGGUGGAAUGUAAUAAUUCUUAUUGUAUUCCACAUUGCUAAGCUGAGACUUGGUUUCUAGAAUUAUAACCAAUUAGGCACCCUCUCCCUACAAACCGGCAUCCUCUCCCUACAAACCAGUUGAAGGGCGAGGAGUUCUACCCAAUGUGGUGGGUACAGAAAAUUUAUUUUUUGUUGUUGCCCAUUUAGGAUUCUAAUUCUGUAGUUUUUAAUCAGUCUGUAAGUCGGGUAUUCAACAAUAGGAGGGUUUUCUGGCACUUAUUUUGGGUUUCACGGAAUCAGAAAUUUAAGGUUUCUGCUACCUAAAAAGAGUUGGUUUUCUGGAAAUUCCAGGCUACAGUAAAAGUUUGACUAUUGUUGCCUCUCAAUUAGAGUUCUGAUUCACUGGUUUUUAUAUGUUCUUUUCAUUUGCUGGAGGUAUUUUAUCUAGUUUUUGUUAAUAGAAUCUCAGUUAUUGGUUGAGACAGCCACGGAUGGUAUUGAAGUGGAUGGUUUUUUGACCUGUUUCUACUUAGCCUUCAAUGUAGUUGGAUUUUAGAGCUCAGCGUUUUCACAUUUGGAUACUUGUUCAUUUGUGGCUUGCCGCAGAGGAAACGUCUUUGGAGAUCAGAAAUUUGAAUUUGAUGGAUGUACUGUGCUGGAAUUUUGCAUUUGGAUUUCCUAUCUUGGCAAGAAAGAGAUUGUUGUAUGAAUUGAUUAACCUGUAAUUUGUUGUGUGUAUAGUAUUAUAAUGGCGGUCAAGGCUGCAAGGGAAGUCUCUGUCUCCAAUCGACUUGAAGGAGGAUUUCUGAAAAACAGAGUCUGUGUCUACUGGCUUUCUGGGAGAUGCAAUCGGAAUCCAUGCAGGUUCAUGCACAGAGAAUCACCACCAAUCCCGCAAACUAAGCAGAUCCAUUCAGCAUCACCUGAGGAAAGUCAUUACCUAAAAUCCAGCAGAAGGACCUGGAGGAAUACUAACUCUAGUACUCCCAAGAAUGUUACACUUUUAACUAACAGAGGGGCUGGGUCCAAGCGUACAAGUGGUGAAGUUUCCCAACAGGAGGUCCUAGCAAAGAAUGAAAGAAAAAUUGAUCGGAUGGACCAAGAAAUGGUCGUAACCUCCAAAGAAAGUAUCCACUGCCAGCAGACCGUGCAAAAGGCUUUGACCACUGAAUCAGUUGAAUCGGAUAGAAAACCCGUUCAAAAAAUCCAGCCAAACGUAUGCAAGUAUUGGGUUACAGCAAAUUGUGUCCAUGGCGAUAAUUGCAAGGACAUACACUCUUGGUACUGUGGAUCUGGAUUCACAAUGUUGACGAAGUUAGAGGGACACACUAAGGUGCUCAUCUGAUAACAUUGUUUUUUAUUAUUUUCAAAUCAUGUUUAACCUGUUAGUAACUUUUCUCUAUUUUUACACUCUUAUUGGUACUGCUCUUCUUUUAUACUGUUUUUAUUAAAUGCUUUAAGAAACUAUUGCAUACAAUUCUAACAAUAAUUCUUUCUAAUGGAAUUUGUACAGACCAUAACUGGAAUUGCUCUCCCUUCUGGUUCUGACAAGCUAUAUACUGUUAGUAAAGAUAGAACUAUCCGCAUUUGGGACUGCAACAGUGGUCAGGUGGGGAUAAUUUUACUUUCUCUCGUUUA
rnacentral:lncRNA from 1 species